UGAAAAGGGAUGCUAUACUGCCUCGGCCUUAUGGUGGGAUUGAGACUAUGGCUAGUGCUCUUAAGAUGACAAUUGCAUGGCCCUACAAUAAAAUCAAGGAAUGCAGGAAGAAGGCACCUGAACCUCCCAAGGGCACUACACGAAGUGCUGGGCAGAUGCCUUUGUCUUGACUUUUUGGAAAAUGAUUCAUGUGCUAUAAUUUUGGAAGUGUUGGGCACAAGUGUUUGCUUGAGUUUAUGGAAGGUGGCUGUACACAUAACCUGGUGGAUGUAAUAUGUGUUGGCAAGCCAUUGCUUUUGGCUUUUGAUUUCUUAGAAAUGAAUGUGUGCCCAAACCUUUUGGUGCUUGCUGGGAGAAUUAAUAUUGCUUGUCGGGAGUACAUUCAUGUAACCAUUUGGUGCUUGACUUUGGAUGAUUCAAACACUGUGUAAGACAAUAUUAUAUGUUAUAUGUAUUGACCUUCACGAA